rnacentral:misc_RNA from 1 species
UCCAUGACUUGUACAUACUCUCAGUGCCAAAAUAACAGAACAUUGCGUGCUUUACCGCCUGCCUUUACGUUUGAAAUCCCUUGGACCAGCCAGAUUUGGAAGAGAUGCUUUCAUCUCCUCCAAAAGGGCCAUAGCCAGCUCCACCUUUCCCAUUUUCUUUAAACUAUUGAUAAGUGAUCGGUAUAUAUAGAUUGAUGGACGGAUCUGCUUUGUCUUCAUCUCUCUAAAUAGUUUCAAUGACUCCUCAAUAUUCCCUGAUCGACCAAAACUCUGAAUUAAUGCAGUAUAUGUAAGCAAAUCUGGUUCAAUUCCACUCUCACCCAUUUCCUUCAUGUACACUAAACACAAAUCCAACCUUCCAGCCUUCUGCAACUGGUUUAAUAAUGUAUUGUAAGAAAUGAAAUCUGGAGAAAUUCCUGCCUCCUUC